rnacentral:rRNA from 1 species
UGAGGAAUAUUGGUCAAUGGACGCAAGUCUGAACCAGCCAAGUCGCGUGCAGGAAUAAGGCCCUAUGGGUCGCAGACUGCUUUUGCAUGAGAAUAAAAAAGUGGGACGAGCCCCACCCUGUAGGUAUCAUGCGAAUAAGGAUCGGCUAACUCCGUGCCAGCAGCCGCGGUAAUACGGAGGAUCCGAACGUUAUCCGGAUUCAUUGGGUUUAAAGGGUGCGCAGGCGGGUCUGUAAGCCCGUGGUGAAAGCCUGGUGCUCAACGCCAGAGGUGCCGCGGGAACUGCAGAUCUUGAGUCGUGACGAGGGCGGCGGAAUGCGUUGUGUAGCGGUGAAAUGCAUAGAUAUGACGCAGAACUCCGAUUGCGAAGGCAGCACACCGGGCGCCUACGGACGCU